AGCUCCAAUAGCGUAUAUUAAAGUUGUUGCAGUUAAAAAGCUCGUAGUUGGAUUUCUGUUUUGGGGAUGCGGUCCGCCUCACGGUGAGCACUGCAGUCUCUGGGACAUCCUCUCGAAGGCGUCUUGUGCACUUAGUUGUGUGCGGGAUGGAUUCGGGACCUUUACUUUGAAAAAAUUAGAGUGUUCAAAGCAGGCGUCGGCUUGAAUACAUUAGCAUGGAAUAAUGGAAUAGGACUUUGGUUCUAUUUUGUUGGUUUCUAGGACCGAAGUAAUGAUUAAUAGGGACAGUUGGGGGCAUUAGUAUUUAAUUGUCAGAGGUGAAAUUCUUGGAUUUAUGAAAGACUAACUACUGCGAAAGCAUUUGCCAAGGAUGUUUUCAUUAAUCAAGAACGAAAGUAGG
rnacentral:rRNA from 1 species